rnacentral:lncRNA from 1 species
AUGUGCGAUGACAACGAGGACUUUGCCGGCGAUGGAUACAUAGGUCUCGCCACCAACUACGUGUUUCUUGCCGGCAGUAUUUGGUUGACAGCCAUAAGAAUGGCUUACGUUGGGAUAAGAAAUGCCCUAAUCAUUGGAGCCAUUGGAGAUUUGUCAGUAUACUCCGUAAGAAGAGAUGCGCGGGAAACUUUAAUUUUCAAUACCAUUCACAAAACACAAUUUUUCAUUUUUCAAUUUGACCACGCUUUACCUACCACUACUUGUAAUUAUUGCCACACUAGAAGUACUGGUGGCCUAUUAAUUACAUGAAGUUUGAAAUAAAUCUCCUUAACAAAAACGACUUUCAUUUUUUUCAAGGGGAAAUGUUAUUCUAGGUGCCCACAAUGCUCCCGAUUUGUAUACCGGGGGGGGGGGGGGGGAGAGUUUCAGGACGGUCGGCUAGUCGUAAAAUAAUAGUACAGGGUGUCCGGAAGUUAACGUACUUAACUUUCAGGAUCGCUUUUUCGGCUCAAAAUAAGACUUUUUUUCCUAUACACAUAUGCCCGAAAACGCUUCAUACGUGAGCUAUGCGCUUCCAAAGUUGCCAUUUUUUUUCGUUCAAAUUAAUAUAGCUCCUCGUCAUUUUUUCGAAGGUGGCUGAAACAUUGUUUAGGGGGGUAUUUCUUAGCGCUCUAUUCAUUUUUUGUGUUUUCAAGGACGUACGUCUUCGAAAAAUGACGUCACAAGCGUUCCCGAAUUUGAAAAUUGCGAUAACUUUUUUGGUAGAUGAUAUUUCGAAAAACGGAUUACGGCACGUGAAAGAGCGUAAAAAAUCAAGGGGAAACGGUACUUCACAAAAUUUUCCAGAAACGCGUCAUUUCGACGCAAAAGAACUUUGAAAAAUUUUAUGAUUUUCGAAGCCCCUUGCUGUGUAGGCAACCUUUACUGCAAGGAUUGAAAAAUUGCCUACAGAGCAAGGGGCUUCGAAAAUUUCGAAGCUAUUGAGACGGCUCUUGACCUUUCCUUCACACUUUUUCCAGGCUUGGGACUGGCCCGAGCAUCAUCUUACGAAAAUCGCGGUUAGGCGGCGAUAUUUUUGAUAUCAAAUAUCCACCGAAAAAUCAUACUUGGAGGCUUAUCGAAAACAUGGUUUCAAAGUGUGGUAGUUUCGUAGCAUAAGUUUAACAAGUCAUGCUUAAUAAUUACUUGUGAAUGCUCGGGGCUGUUCAACGCCGCUCCUCUCAAAGCAGAGAUUCGUGAUAUCUGCUCAGCACUUAUUCACCGAAUUUCUUAUUUCAUGUUCAAUGGCAGAUCUGGUAAGUACUUUGGGUGCAGUGAAAGGUUCGGAGAUUUAAUUCAUUUACUUACGUUGAUGCUUGCCAAUGUGUGUACUGUCGCUCGAAAUGAUUACACAGUAGCGCGAGAAUAGCUAAGAAUCGGAUUUUUUCGUAUUAAAAAAAAAGCAACAACAAAGAACAAAAAAUAAACAAAAAAAGCGGAUAAAUUACCUCCAGUGAGGGGGGGAGGGGCUGUUCUGCAUUAGUAAAAGAGCUGCCUCGUACAAAAUUUCAGGCCAAUUGAUCAACUUUCAGAGGUCGCAUCAACCCAUUUUUUUUAAAUAAUUUUUUCAGUAGGUAGAAAUUCUUCAUUUGCACUCCACAAAUGUGCAUUAUGGUCUCUCACAAUCUCCCAUAGCACGUGGCAGCUUUAUGAGCUCUCGAUCAGAUUGAAAAUUGAAUUCUGGUGGUUUUUUCCUCCUCACAUUUUGACAUACCGAUUUCGCAGCAUAUCAAUAAUCUUGCAGUUGCAAUCAAUGUCUUAUCAUUGUUUCACUAUCUGAAUAUCUUCAUCGAAUUUCGUCU